ensembl:lncRNA
UGUGUCUUGAAACCUAGUAAGCCGCCUACCUAGACAGCAUUCUUAGGUGUUAAUGCCAAUUCCCGUAUGUGUCUAGCUAGCUAGCUCACUAGUUAUUCUAGACACAGCCACGAACAACAGCUAUCAGUUCACCGUUUCAGCCACCAUUUUUUCUUAUGGCGUAAAUAACUUUAAACGGUGUUAUUGUGCAUUAGUUUGGUAUUAGAGCGCUCUUUUCUUUAUGCCUGGUGUUUUUAGGCAAUAAACAGUCUUCUGGGUCCUGUUCUUCGACAGUGGUUUAACAAAGCCCGGAUUAGUUCACAUAUCCCGGAUUGACCUAGCUCGACCUGAAAUGGGGUUUUUCCGGCUCUUCUAACACAUACCUCGGAUUUACAUAUAACAUAUAGCAGCUGACCGUUCAUGCGAGGAUUUAUGAAUCUGUGUACACUAUAAUUACAGCAUGGCUAAACAGCGGGCUGCAUAUUUCAGCGCUGCUGAAUUGCAGCUUAUAAUGGAAGGAUAUGAAGAAGUUAAACAUUUAAUAAAAACCAAAGGGAAUACUAUAGCGGCUGCAAAAGUCCGUCAGGAUGCGUGGCGAAAAAUAACAGCCAAAUUAAAUGCGUAAGUAUAUCUUAUAUUUAAUUGGCAUUAAUUAUGCAGUAGUUUAUAUAUGACACCUGUGCUGACCAACUAGUGUGAGUGUGUGUGUGUUAUGUUUUGGCUACAGACUUAUUCUGCUGUUGGUCACGCUUACACUUACAGAUCCAACCCUAUGGGACCUAGAAGAACGUGGCAACAAGUGAAGACGAAAUACAAAAAUAUCGUUCAAAGUGCUAACAAGAGAAAGGCUGCACUGAAGAAGAUGGGACUAAUCCCAACAAAAGAGGAGUACAUAGAUGAAGAGGAGCUGCCCCCUGAGAACAAUGUGGAGGGUCCUAUCAUAGCGAGCAUAGUUGGUGGCUGCUCCUCUGAUCCAGGAGAAACCGCUGGCUGCAGCAGUUAUGUCAAAGUGACUGAACAUGGACUGGCCCUACUUCAGCCACCUGUAUUAUCAGACGAAGAGCUGGACUCUGAACCUGUGGAAGAUGUAAAGACACUAUACAAGAAGUAUCUCAAAAUAGAGAUCUCAAACAGAAAGCAAGAAAUGGCAUACAGGGCAUUAAAAAUGCGCAAAGUGGAGAAAGAAAUUCAGUUACUGGACAGGAAACUGGAUGUAAGUGUGAUAUUUGAUAAUGGGUUGUCAGAGUAA